UACGUAGGUGGCAAGCGUUGUCCGGAUUUACUGGGCGUAAAGAGCGCGCAGGCGGUCGUUUAAGUCGAAUGUGAGAGCCCCCGGCUCAACUGGGGAGGGACAUUCGAUACUGAUCGACUUGAAGGCAGGAGAGAGAAGUGGAAUUCCCGGUGUAGUGGUGAAAUGCGUAGAUAUCGGGAGGAACACCAGUGGCGAAGGCGACUUCUUGGCCUGUUCUUGACGCUGAGGCGCGAAAGCUGGGGGGAGCAAACGGGG
rnacentral:rRNA from 1 species